rnacentral:lncRNA from 1 species
UCAUCUCUACUUCCACUGCCCAUGUCAAACAAGUCUCUAGGGAUGUUACGGAGUACAACGUACCAACCCUCAUCAGUUGGGUCUUUUGAGUAAAAAACUUGUUUGACUUGAGAAGAAAAUACAUACGGCUCAUCAAUCAAUUGUUGUCCUGUGUGAAUCAAUCGAGCGAAGUUUACCAUUGUGAAACCAAAUUGAUCUUGCUUGAUUC